rnacentral:lncRNA from 1 species
UAUUCUGAAAAAAAAUCAGAUAUAUGUCAUUUAUGAAAAUAACUUCUACAGUAGUUAUUUCUUUUCUAUGGGGUUAAUUAUUCUCUCUGGUGUACCCUCCAAAAUUCUGUAGGCAGUAAGAGCAGCUGUUUCUAUGUAUUGGCUUGCAUUUGUGAUUGGACUGCCUUUAAUAAUUAUUUGCUAUCUUUGUUGAAUUUCAGUAAACAUCAGUCAGUAAGAAUGAUAUUUAUUAUCCUCAUUGCUUUACAGCUCAUCAGCUCAUACAAUUGAAGACAAUACCUGCUUUCCUCACAAAUAAGCGAGAAAGAAGUGGCUUGCAUCACGGUCUCUCUUGUCCUAGAUUUCAUUUCACAGGAAUCCCAGAGUUACUACUACCACUUAUUCCAUUUGGAAAAUCUCCAGAAGAUUGAACUUGUAGUACAGGUAGGAAAAGUUGGCUUUGCUGAUGAAUUUUGCUUAGCCACAAUGUUAGCAUAUCCAUGUUUUAUAAGCUGAUUGGGUUGUCUUCAGAGAUGUAUCUCUGUAUUUUUAGAAGUUAAGGAUAUAUCAGGAGUAGUAUACAGAGGUGCGCUUCUGUUUAACCUGCAAAUUGAUAGUAUGGAAAGUUGUACCUGUCUGGCUAUACAUGAAAAAUCCAGAGAAUAUGUUUCACAGCUCUGUGAGCAGCGCUCCCUGGUUUGAGAAGUGUGAGCACCCCACCACUGCGACCAAGAGCCUUCUUAAUUAAA